AGGAGGAGGGGGCGCGCGGCUGGGCACAAAGAGCGCUGAGCAUCCAGAGAGAGGAGGCUGGCGGACGGAGAGGAGAGGAGAGGACAACAACGGGGACCUAACGGAGAGCAUCCUCGAUCCAUUUCUGCUCCACGCUCACUCUAUCAGUGUUAUUGAUUAAAGGAAUCUCUAACACCGUUCAUCGACCCCCCUCCAAAAAAAAGGACUUGUCCAGCAACAGCUGCUCCUCUCCACAAAUACCUGCUCCUGAUCUGUUCACCCCCACCCUCAGCCCCAGCAGCCAUCACCUCCACUUUGUACCCAUGAAGGAAGCCGACGCCAUCAAGUUGUUCGUGGGGCAGAUUCCUCGGAAUCUGGAGGAGAAGGACCUCAAACCCAUUUUCGAGCAGUUUGGCAAGAUCUACGAGCUCACGGUGAUUAAGGAUAAAUACACUGGGAUGCACAAAGGAUGCGCGUUUCUGACGUACUGCGCAAGAGAGUCGGCCCUGAAAGCCCAGAGCGCUCUCCAUGAGCAGAAAACACUACCAGGGAUGAAUCGCCCAAUCCAGGUCAAACCGGCUGACAGUGAAGGACGAGGAGAGGACAGAAAGCUGUUUGUGGGCAUGCUUGGGAAGCAGCAGAGUGAUGAAGAUGUCAGAAGGCUGUUUGAGCCCUUUGGCAGCAUAGAGGAGUGCACUGUUUUAAGAGGACCAGAUGGAACCAGCAAAGGGUGUGCUUUUGUUAAGUUCCAGGGACAUGCCGAAGCCCAAGCAGCAAUCAACAGCUUGCACGGGAGCCGUACAAUGCCUGGAGCAUCGUCCAGUCUGGUGGUGAAGUUUGCCGACACGGAGAAGGAGCGGGGGCUGAGGAGGAUGCAGCAAGUGGCCUCUCAGCUCGGCAUCUUCAGCCCCAUGACCCUUAACUUUCCUGCCUACAAUGCCUACACGCAGGCGGUCAACGCACAGCUUGUCCAACAGCAGGCCCUGGUCGCCCAGUCAGCGUACUUGUCUCCUGUAGCAACAGUUGCUGCAGUACAGAUGCAGCAGAUGGCGGCACUCAAUGCCAACGGAAUCAUCGCAACACCCAUUACACCCAUUACACCGUCCUCGGGUACAAACACUCCACCAACUAUAGCAGCGACACCUGUGACAGCUAUCCCCCCACCAAUGGGAGUAAAUGGUUACAGCAGUGUGCCAGCCCCCACCAAUGGACAGCAAACAGAAGCACUGUAUACCAAUGGGGUUCACCCAUACCAAGCCCAGAGUCCAGCUGCAGCUCUGGAUCCUCUUCAGCAAGCCUAUGCAGGCAUGCAGCACUACACAGCGGCGUACCCUGCUGCUUACGGAUUGGUUGGGCAGCCGUUUCCCCAGCAGCCAACACUGGUUGCUCAGCAACACCAGCAGCCCCAGCAACAGCAGCAAAGAGAAGGUCCAGAAGGGUGUAACAUCUUCAUCUACCACCUGCCACAAGAGUUCAGUGACUCUGAGAUGCUGCAGAUGUUCCUGCCCUUUGGCAAUGUCAUAUCGGCUAAAGUGUUUGUGGACCGAGCCACCAACCAGAGCAAAUGUUUCGGAUUUGUGAGUUUUGACAACCCUGCCAGCGCACAGGCCGCUAUCCAGGCAAUGAAUGGCUUUCAGAUCGGAAUGAAAAGACUCAAAGUGCAGCUCAAAAGGCCCAAAGACGCCAACCGACCAUACUGAGCAACAAUGGAGAAGAGGAAGAACAAAUAGAGAGAUCCUCCCGUCAAAUCAUAAUUCACGAGGACCCCAUCGCUAUGGCAAUGGUUGCCUAGUGACCGAUAAAGCCCUGAUCCCCCCUUCCUCUCACAUUGUUGUGACUAAGAGUCCAGCUGAAGGUGAAGUCCCAGGGUUCAUUGUGCUUUCAGACUGUCUUCUACCUGUGAUCGUCUGUGGAGUGCUACGAGACAUACAACACACAACUAACACACACAGACACUAAUAUACACCACAGUACUCUUAAUUUUGAACCUCAAUGCUGAAAUGUAUAUAAAAUGCACAAAGCAAACAGACGCCUGCUAACACUCAGUCAGAACACACAGUUCACACAGGUUACGUAUCCAUACACCCCACAGCUUGGUAUGACCAUAGCGUGUAUGGAAAAGGAUGUUUAGUACAACUAAGAGAACUCAGACCACGUGUAGGAAAGGCACCGAUAAAAAAUGCUGAUAUAUCAGUUCAACAGACUCUUAACAUGUCUAACUACGUGACAAAUAUAGAGGGAUUGAUGUUUCAUAAUAAAAAAAGAAAGAAAAUUAAAAAAAAAGAUGGCUAAAUGAGUAGGUUAGAAAGAGUUUGGAAAGGAUCUGAAUGAGCUGUAUAUAGUUAGUUUACAAAGAACAGCAUAAAAAAAAAAAGAAAACGUGCAAAAAGAAAACUACUUUAGAUAAAAACACUGAACAGAACACUGCGACAUAAUUAUUAUUAUUAUCAUUAUUAUUCUUAUUAUUAAUACAACUAGUGACAUCAUCAUUCUUCAUGAAAAAGCUAUUACAUUCCAAAUUGUAAAAUGGGGGGGGAAAAAAUCACAAACCUAUUUUAAAUUUUUACUUAGAUUUUAGGUGAAACGUGGGGAGAAGGGAGGGAGGGGGGGGUGCACUUUUACUCGGGAGGUUUUAAUAAUUGAGCUAUUUUUUAAUUUAUUUAUUUACUAAUUUAACAAUUAUUUUGUUUAUGGGGAGAAACCGUUUGAGUGGGAAUGCAAUAUUUUGGUUUUAGGAUUUUCUAGAGAAAAACUUUUCAGAGCCUGUUUCUGUCAGACUCUUACAAUCGAGUAACUAUAUUGUAUCUAUUAACUAUUACAGCAAUUAUAUUUAUUUCAUAUUUAUUGAAUCCUGUUUUUGAUCCACUCUUUUUAAGUUAAAAAUAAAAGGUAUCAUACUAAA